rnacentral:antisense_RNA from 1 species
AUUUCUUUAAGUGCUUCUUCGCCUUUUGUUCCGGUUUGUUUUACAAAGUCAGCAUAGAAAGGUUUCAUCGCUUCUUUGAAUGGGGCGAGAUCCGGAUAUGUUACGGUUACACCUUGU